rnacentral:rRNA from 1 species
CAGUCGCCACGGGAAUACGGAGGGGGCUAGCGUUGUUCGGAAUUACUGGGCGUAAAGCGCACGUAGGCGGUUUUGCAAGUCAGAGGUGAAAGCCCGGGGCUCAACUCCGGAAUAGCCUUUGAGACUGCAUCGCUUGAACACGGGAGAGGUGAGUGGAAUUCCGAGUGUAGAGGUGAAAUUCGUAGAUAUUCGGAAGAACACCAGUGGCGAAGGCGGCUCACUGGACCGUUGUUGACGCUGAGGUGCGAAAGCGUGGGGAGCAAACAGGAUUAGAUACCCCAGUAGUCCCUGUCUCUUAUAC